rnacentral:rRNA from 1 species
UGGCUCAGAUUGACGCUGGCGGCAUGCUUAACACAUGCAAGUCGAACGGUAACAGGUCUUCGGAUGCUGACGAGUGGCGGACGGGUGAGUAACGCGUAGGAAUCUGCCCAUCUGUGGGGGAUACCAGUUGGAAACGACUGUUAAUACCGCAUAAUAUCUGCGGAUUAAAGGUGGCCUUUGUGCUGCCGCAGAUGGAUGAGCCUGCGUUGGAUUAGCUAGUUGGUGGGGUAAGGGCCUACCAAGGCUACGAUCCAUAGCUGAUUUGAGAGGAUGAUCAGCCACAUUGGGACUGAGACACGGCCCAAACUCCUACGGGAGGCAGCAGUGGGGAAUAUUGGACAAUGGGGGAAACCCUGAUCCAGCAAUGCCAUGUGUGUGAAGAAGGCUCUAGGGUUGUAAAGCACUUUAGUUGGGGAGGAAAGCCUAUAAGUUAAUAGCUUGUAGGAAGGACGUUACCCAAAGAAUAAGGACCGGCUAACUCCGUGCCAGCAGCCGCGGUAAUACGGGGGGUCCGAGCGUUAAUCGGAAUUACUGGGCGUAAAGGGUCUGUAGGUGGUUUAUUAAGUCAGAUGUGAAAGCCCAGGGCUCAACCUUGGAACUGCAUUUGAUACUGGCAAACUAGAGUAUGGUAGAGGAAUGGGGAAUUUCUGGUGUAGCGGUGAAAUGCGUAGAGAUCAGAAGGAACACCAAUGGCGAAGGCAACAUUCUGGAUCAAUACUGACACUGAGGGACGAAAGCGUGGGGAUCAAACAGGAUUAGAUACCCUGGUAGUCCACGCUGUAAACGAUGAGUACUAGCUGUUGGAUUCGGUGUAAAGGAUCUAGUGGCGCAGCUAACGCGUUAAGUACUCCGCCUGGGGACUACGGCCGCAAGGCUAAAACUCAAAGGAAUUGACGGGGACCCGCACAAGCGGUGGAGCAUGUGGUUUAAUUCGAUGCAACGCGAAGAACCUUACCUGGUCUUGACAUCCUGCGAACUUUCUAGAGAUAGAUUGGUGCCUUCGGGAACGCAGUGACAGGUGCUGCACGGCUGUCGUCAGCUCGUGUUGUGAAAUGUUGGGUUAAGUCCCGCAACGAGCGCAACCCCUAUUGAUAGUUACCAUCAUUAAGUUGGGUACUCUAUUGAGACUGCCGCUGACAAGGCGGAGGAAGGUGGGGACGACGUCAAGUCAUCAUGGCCCUUACGACCAGGGCUACACACGUGCUACAAUGGGUAUUACAGAGGGCUGCGAAGGUGCGAGCUGGAGCGAAACUCAGAAAGGUACUCUUAGUCCGGAUUGCAGUCUGCAACUCGACUGCAUGAAGUCGGAAUCGCUAGUAAUCGCAGGUCAGAAUACUGCGGUGAAUACGUUCCCGGGUCUUGUACACACCGCCCGUCACACCAUGGGAGUGGGUUGCUCCAGAAGUAGAUAGUUUAACGAAUGGGCGUUUACCACGGAGUGAUUCAUGACUGGGGUGAAGUCGUAACAAGGUAGCCGUAGGGGAACCUGCGGCUGGAUCACCUCCUU